GAAAAUGACAAUAAAUUAAAAAAAAAAUAGAUAUAUUAAAAAAUUACUAACUUCAUCUUGUUCAUUUUGUUCUUGAUAUUUUCUAACCAUAUAUUUCUUUUCCAAUUUCUUAAAAGUUCAAAUUGUUAAAAUAAAACUUAAUCCAUAAACUUAGGAGACAUAUAAAUAAAUCAUAUUGCCACGUAGACGUAUAUGUCACACAAUUAACAAUAAAGUUAAUCUCAAAUACUAAAGUGUCAAAUGUUUAGAUAUACAUGAGAUUUUUUUGAGUUUUUGGUCGAAUAGAUAUUAAAAUGACGUCGUAUCAUUCAGGUACCAAAAAUAGUGGUUUAUCCAUUUAUACACGGAUGCAUAAACUUGAGAAAUUGAUCUGGCAAAAUCAACAUCCAAAAUCCAGUUUGAUUGUAAUGAAGCAAUUUUUUAUACCAAAUUUUUAAGUUAAAAAUGAGUUUGAAUUUAUAAUUGGUCCUUAAAAUUUGAUUGGAUAUGGGAAAAUCCGGUUAUUUUGAAGAAAAUACAACUUUUAAAUAAAUCCAGAUUUGAAUUCAUAUUGGAAGAAAAAUCGAUUAUGAAACUCUAACAAAAUUUGAAACGGAUUAUUAAUUCAGUUUUGGGAGAGAAAUGUGGUUUUGGAUUUAAUAUUGAAUCUAAACAUAAAUGAAUGAAUUGUAAAUAAAAUUAAGAAUAGAGAGUAUGGAUGCGGUCAACAUGAAAAAUCAAAAUCCUGAAUAGACAGUAUUGUGUUUAUUAUUUAGUUACAGAAUCCCGUUAUCCUUUUUAACAUCUCCGCAACUGAAUUUGCAGCCAUGACGACGAGGUUUAUCAGGAUCAGAAUCACUUGGUUCUACCAUAAGUCCUCUCAAACACCGUCUUCGAACCGUUGGUCGAUAAGGUAACUUCUCUACCCUGCUAACAUUGCUUCCUUCAUUCCCACGGUUUUCUAAACCUCGUUUAACCUCAGGCUCAUGCUUUUGGGGAAGAAUGACACGAACGCCAGGGUCUCUUCCCGUUAAUGACCCUUGCAACAUGAAUGAAUUAUUCAUACUCUGUAUGUUACUAUUCACAUAUGCUUUCCCACCUUCCUCUUUCUCUUCUUUUUCAUUCGUUCUAUGUAUCUUGUGGAUUGACCCUUUUUUCUUUGUUGACUGUGACUGAG
rnacentral:lncRNA from 1 species